CCAUGCCGCGUGAGUGAUGAAGGCCUUCGGGUUGUAAAGCUCUUUCACCCACGACGAUGAUGACGGUAGUGGGAGAAGAAGCCCCGGCUAACUUCGUGCCAGCAGCCGCGGUAAUACGAAGGGGGCAAGCGUUGUUCGGAAUGACUGGGCGUAAAGGGCGCGUAGGCGGUUCGUUGCGUCAGAUGUGAAAGCCCCGGGCUCAACCUGGGAACUGCAUUUGAUACGGGCGAGCUUGAAUCCAAGAGAGGGUGGUGGAAUUCCCAGUGUAGAGGUGAAAUUCGUAGAUAUUGGGAAGAACACCAGUGGCGAAGGCGGCCACCUGGCUUGGUAUUGACGCUGAGGCGCGAAAGCGUGGGGAGCAAACAGGAUUAGAUACCCUGGUAGUCCACGCCGUAAACGAUGUGUGCUAGCCGUCGGGCAGCUUGCUGUUCGGUGGCGCAGCUAACGCGAUAA
rnacentral:rRNA from 1 species